GGGGGGGGGGGGGGAGGGCUGGGGGGAGGGGGACAGCCGAGUUCUUACUUAAUGAGGACGGACUUUCGGUUUGGGAGGAUGAAAAAGCGUUGGAGGUGGUUGCACGACAGUGUGAAUGUAAUGAAUACCACAGAACUGUGCACCUAAAAAUGGCUGAAUGGUAAAUUUUAUGUUUGUGCAUUUUACCACGAUUUAAAAAAACAAAAAACAAAACCAAAAACAAAACCGAAAUGCCUCCAUGCACCCAAGAGCUCAUCCUGCACGGGGAUCUACACACCAAGACUACCUGGAAGGCCCCUGCACCAUCCAACCGGAAGUAUUUGUCUCCUGGGCGGGCUUGCGUGGACCUGGCCAGAAUGGCCUCGUGCAGCUGGGCCUUGAGACCAGUGAGUGAAAUCUGGGCGCUUCACUUACCUGCAAAGAGACAUCACAGUGGCCAGUGGGAACGCUCAAGACUCGAGUGGCCGGGCAAACUGUCCUGCGGGGCCUUACGGGCUUGGAAUUCAGGGCCACAGGAAGUGGGGAGAGGACCUGAAUGUUCCAUGGCCUCCUGGAGAGAAGCCUCACAGCCGGCAGUACACCCUCCUAGUGGCCUCCCAGAGGCUCCUCUUCCGGGAAGCAGGGAGUAGAGGGCGGGGGCUGUUCACUGUAGCCACAGUGACGCUGCUUUUCCAGAUUCCCAAGUCUGCCCGAGACGGCUUCGGACAGACACGGUGCCCCUGUGCAGUGCAAAGCCUCCAACAGAUCCUCUUUAAGGUUAUUGGGGGUCUGCUCUGUCCCAGGGAAGGACACGGCAUCCCGACUACUGGCCCUACCCCAUCCCCACUGUGGCCUCACUAGAGAGUGAAAGCAGAAAGGAAAAGGAGGCUCAGAGAGGUUAAGUGACAUGCUCAGGGUCACACAGCUGAUAACCUCAGAGCCAGGACCGGAAACCCGUCACUCUGACCACAAAACUCACACUCUCCUACAACUGUGUUUCUCAACUAGGAGUGGUACAGGGGCAGAGCGCAACACCCGUAUGGAUUCUUCAGUAAACCCAGGGACUUCGGGCUGGCAUCCGUCCCAUCUUCUGAGUUCACUGGCCCCCACAAUUAAGGAAACAUUGGUGGAAAAGUUCAAGAAGGUUAUGUUCCAUCUGCCACUUUGGGGAGAAGGUACCGCCCCAUCUUGUGACGUGCUUCACGACGACUCACCAAAUGAAAGGAUAAGUCCGCUGGAACAGGUCGGCACGGGUGUCCUUUGUGGCUGCCUCCCAAGCCCCGCAGGUUGGCAAUAUGAACGCCCCAAGGUCCCGCUCAUUUGUUAUCUGAGUCACAGCAGGGUGGGAGGGGGCAGGCAGGGCAGGGAGCCGUGUGCCCAGGUGGCAGAAGGUAGAGCUGAAGCCCAAAGAGGCCAGGGGCCCGUAUGCGCAGAACGAAAAGGGGGGAAGUAGUAAGUGUGACACAGGAAAAGUGAAGAGACCCCCGAAAAGACUGCUUUUUUGUGCCUCCAUUUUUUAGGUAUACUUCACGCCCACUGCAGAGCCCAACGCGCGGCUUGGAUUCACAACCCUGAGAUCAAGACUUACACUGAGAUAAGAGUCAGAUGCUUAACCGACUGAGCCACCCAGGCGCCCUUUGCUGCCUCUAUUCUGGCUGGGGCCCACACCCUGCCUUACACGUGCCUUUUAGGACAGAUAAUAUAUGUCUUCCUUAUAAAGGUCAAGGAGUUAAUGAUUUCUUUGGAAUUUUCCAGCACAACAGAUAACAUCUAAGGAGUGACCAGGUUGGGCAUCAUUCCCAAGACCACUGAGCCACCAAGACCCCUGGCUCCGGGGCAUUAGUGCCUUACAGAGGACCUCUAAACACUCGCCUUUGUUCCUGGAUGCCUGAGAAGACGUGUGCACAGGACCACAGUCCUCAGUAAAAACCCCAGAGUCCAAGCAAAGACCCUCUCUCCUUUCCGAGUCUCCCAGACACGGUCUGUCCCUGCACUCUGUGUCUGCAAGAAACUCCACCCUCACCUCCUGCUGGCCCGAAUUUGAUGUCACUCCUGCGAGAACCCAAGUACCCUCUUGUUUGGUUCCAUGAGACCCCCUCUGGGUCCUCAGACCCAGCCAGCCUGCAUUAAGGGGGGGUGCCCUGUGGCCCCAGCGCCUCCUGCUUCUCUGGACUUGACCCUGAUCCCGGCCACCCAGCCAUCACCAGGCAGUGUCUGGGAGAGAGAACGCCCGCUGCUUCUCUCACUUGCCCCGGCGGGGAGAGGGCCUAAAGAGGGGUGCAGCAACUCCCUGAGGCGCUGGAGCCUGGGGCGCCCCAGGGAUGACAGAGGCACCGCCCCGGCCCCUGGGGGUAGUGGUCCUUUGUGCCUCCCAGGCUGAGUCCCUGCACCCUUCCAUCAGUCUGUCCAUCUGACACACGGGGACCCGGCCACCCCAGGGUGAGGGGGACAGGAAGGUGCUUCUGAGAGCAUAGACCCGGCAGACGCUCUGUGUGCUCAGGGGCUCUAGGACCCACAGGGGAGGCUGAGCAGGUGGGACUCCCUUCUUCUCUAAGGAGGGCUGUUGUUGGGCUCCUCAGUAAGACUCCCCCUGACGAGCGAUUAAGCUACUAAAAACCAUUUGAGGCCCCGCCCCCCCAUGAGGUGUCCAGUCGUGACCCCCAGGGCUGCACUGCACCAAGACCUCAUCGUUCCUCUUUGGGCCUCCCUACAGAAGGCCCCUUGAGACAGAAGAGCCCGGAAGAAAACGCCAAACAACAGUGGCUGAGCAAGAUGAAAGUUUCGUUUUCUUGCACUCUCAAGACGUUUACAGGUGGCCGGGGCUCGUGCGGCAAGCAGUGUCACAGUGCCAGGACCCUGAGCUCCUUGUAUACUGUGGCUCUGCCGUGCAGUCUUCAUUUCCAACAUCAUCACCUCAUGGUCCAAAAUGGCUGCUAACGCUCCUGCCAUUAGAUCUGCAUUACAGGCAGCAGAAGGAGAAAGGGGAGUAGGGUGUGUCUUGCCCUUUAAGAACCUUUCCUAAUGUCAAACACUAUUUUUACAUCCAGGCCAAAAUUUAGUCAUGUGGUCACACCGAAGUAUAAUGGAGACUGGGAGGUAUCUUGAUUCCAAGCAGCAAAUGCCCAGAUCGCCGUGAGCGUUCGACGUGAUGAUUGGUUUUCCACCUGCAAAAGCUGACUGUCACAGCCUGGAAGUGUCCACAAGAUGAGCUGGAAUGUGCCUGGAAGGGGGUGGCCCAGGUCCUCUGAGACAAGAGGCAGCUGAGGCGACAGACACAAAGGCCACGGAGGGGGCAAGGAUAGGGCACCCAAACCGGGGGUGGAUUCUAUGGGGAAGGGACAUGGAGGCCUGGUGGAGAGGGACAGGGACAGGGAGGAGAGGAUAGCGUGUUGCUUUUCCUCGAAACUCCUUCUAUGGCUUUCUUUUCCCUGCUGUGAUCCAGGCCUGGGGCUGGGCGCGGGGGAACGUGUCUGGAAGCAAAGGGCACAUACAGGCAGUCAGCACGUGAGGUCCCCACCCCGCUCCCUUCCUGUCCCCUCGGCCCCCACCUCUGUGAAGUGGCCCCAGCAGUCAGGCAGCAGGGAAGUGUGUGCCUGUGACAGAGCGGAUUUCCCCGUCUUUCUCCCGGCCUGAGGAAGCCCCCAUGGGGGGCCUGCUUUUCCUGGAGGACUGAGCCAGGGGGCAAGAAGGACGCUCUAUUUCGAGAUGGGGGCUCAAGCUGUUUCAUACAAAAGACAUGUGUCCUUAGUGGUGAAGCGCAGGAUUCUGGGUCAGACAGCCUUUGCUCAGAUCCGAGUCUCACACCUACCAGCUGUGUGACCACCAACGAGUCGCAUAACCUCUCUGGGCCCCGUAUUCCUUACCUGCAAAACCAGGAGUUGUGAGGUGAAGCGAGAGGCUUUAUAACAGGCCUCAGAGCAGCCGAAGUAAGCGCUCAGUGAAGGCGAUCAGUGUGAUCGGCACCGAGUAUGAUCAGUGACAAUGACAGGAAAUAUGAGGGAUUCUUGCUUUAUGGCUGAGGGCACGGGCCACAGGACAGACAGCCUUGGCUUCUCCUGGCGAGGCAGAGACGGCAGAGGGUGGGGUGGUGAGGCUUGUUUGGAAGGCCCCGCCCGGCCUUCCUGCCCUCUGGCAUCCCCCCCACCCUCCCCGUGGGACCGAGCCCAAGCUCUGAGGGGGGCGGGGCUGGCCCCAGGCUUCUGGGGUCCCUCUGAUCCCUGAAGCCUCAACUGCUGCGGAGAGCCUCCAGGGCCGGAGUAAACACUGGAACGCCUCAGGGCGCUGCUUGGGGCGCGAGCACCGGGAAGCCAACACAGUCUUCCUCUUGGGGCUGCCAGGCCUCGGGCCACCGUCCACUCCUGCCCCCGGCCGGCCCCGGACCAAGACCCUCAGGGGCCUCCACGGUCUCAGCGCGCCCAGGCCCAGGCCCAGUCUGCUCUCUUGGUAUCUGAACCCCUCUCUCAUGGGUUCCUGAUGAGGACGACUUCCUCCCUCAGGCGGGAGAGGAAGCAGCCCGGCCGCCCUCCUCCCAGGGCAGGACCCGGCGUCUCUCUGUUCCUCUAUGUGUCAGGCUGGCUGUGAGGGCCACAGUGUCUCCACCUGCAUCUUGUCAGGGCCCCAGGGGGUCCACGGAGGGAGGCCCAGGGCUCAAGGCCCAUCGACCCGGCUUCAAAUCAGUUCUGCCAUUUCCAGGCUGUGCAGCUUUGGACAAGUCCCUCACCCUCUCUGAGCUCACUUCAUCGGUAAACCGGAGAUAACUGGGAUUCUUGUGAGGCUGUGAAUGACAUCUGUUGAUUUGUGUGUUUCUGGCCGUUCAGAUUUUCCUGCUUUCCACAAGCACUCGCUGGGCAGCCCCCGGUGCCACGUCCUCAGCUCGCAGAGGGGAGCUUCUAGGGCCCGCCUGGCCCUCAGGGGGUGCCCGCUUCAGUGGGGGAGAUGGCAGGUGACAGGCGGUCAGGACCCGUAGCUCUGGCUGCUGUGACUACCAGGCCGUAAUGUGGGAGGAAAU